ACAGAAGGAGGGUCCUGAGGACAAGCCUUAGAAGGUCAUCGCCCCUACCAUCCACUGGCCUGUUUCUAGGUAUUUAAUCACGCGGACACAGAAGUAACUAAUACAGAUGCUGUGGUUGGAAGGACCUGUUCGACCUGGAACAUUUGAGCAGAGACCCAAAGGACAUAGGCUCGGUCCUGCCUUCAUCUGCAUGCUCACGAUCAGGUUAUACGAAGACUGGAUGACAUCGUUCACCGGAGCCACGUAGAGCCACAC